rnacentral:misc_RNA from 1 species
AGAGAGAGAGAGUAUUGGUUGGUGUUCCCAUGCUAAAGUGGUUGGAUGAAGCUAAAAGAGAGCAUUUAUAAAGACAGAGAAUGGGAGAGGGAUAGUAUAGAGUAAUAAUAAUAGAUGGAUAAAUUAGUUAGUAUUAAUAUAAAGAAAUAGGGGGGGAGACAGUAGAGAAAGAGAGAGCGCGAGUAAUAAUUAUAGUUAAAUAGAUUAGUGUUAAAUUUGGAGUUUGAUCUUUUAAAAUUUGAAAAUUAAGAGAGAGAGGAAAAGAGUAAGAAAGAGAUGGAUUCAUAUUUUUAAGACAUAUAGU